AUGGCGUCGCGGGCCGCCUUCCUCCUGCCCGCGGCGUCGGGUCCCGGCUGGCUCUUGCUCCGGCGCUCCGCCCGGCGCCCUUGUGGCCCCCCCGGCGACUCCUCCUCCCCUACCCACCAGCGGCCCGUGGGAUCUGGUGGGCACGAUCGUGCUGGCGGCGGAUCUGGGCAUCCGGGCCCAGAUCCGGUGGAUGUGCGGAUCUUCGAUGGCGGGGCAAAAACAAAAUCCUUCCUGCUGAUGGCAGGAGUUUUGGAUGCUUUGGCAUCUUAUGUCAGCAACAUGCUCACUGAGAUGGCAAUUGAAGAAGUGGCCAUGUUGAUUGGGGUCUCUAGCGGGAUUGAUGACCUAAGCGUCAAGCUCAGGGACCUAAAAAAUGUCCUUGCAGAUGCCGAUAAGAGGAACAUCACAGACGAGAGUGUGCGGGAGUGGGUGGAGGAACUGAAGCACGCCAUGUAUCGCGCCACUGACAUCCUCGACCUGUGCCAGCUCAGAGUCAUGGAGCAAGGUCCAUCCAGGGACAUGGGGUGCCUUAACCCACUCCUCUUCUGCAUGCGACAUCCCCUCCAUGCCCACGAGAUCGGGAGCCGCAUCAAGGUGCUCAACCAAAAGCUAGAUGAAAUCUCCAAGAGGGGCGGUAGUUUCAAUUUUAUCAAGCUGGAAGCCUACCAAAACCGAAAGACAACCAACCCUCCUCCUGUCAACCGCAAGACAAAUCCGCUGCUGGAGCGAUCAAGUGUGGUCGGGGAGAAGAUUGAAGAUGAUACAAGGGCACUUGUCCAUAUGCUCAUGAUGGAGUCAGGAGACAAGAGUGAUAGCAUCAUGGUGUUUGCCAUAGUUGGUGUCGGUGGAAUUGGUAAGACUACCCUCAGCAAGAAGGUCUUUAAUGAUGAGGCCAUUCAAGACAAGUUCACCACAAAGAUAUGGUUGAGUGUCACACAAGAGUUCAGCGAGGUUGAGCUGUUGCAGACGGCCAUCACUUCCGCCAAUGGAAGCUUGCCAGGGCCAGGUUGUGGGUCUCAAGACAAAGCUUUGCUUGUGCCAGCUCUUGCGAGCGCUAUCAGAGACAAGAAGAUAUUUCUUGUGUUGGAUGACAUGUGGAGCACCAAUGAAUGGACCAACUUGCUGAAGGCUCCCUUUAGCCACAGCGCCCCUGGUAGCGGAGUCCUCAUCACAUCAAGACAUGAAGCCAUUGCUCGAGGCAUGAAAGCUGUGCAUCCUUACCACCAUGUUGACAAAUUAGAGCCUGAAGAUGCUUGGUCAUUGCUCAAGAAGCAGGUACUCACAACAGAGAAUGCUGAACCUGCAGUUGAUAUGCUUAAGGAUAUAGGAUUGCAAAUCGUAGAAAAAUGUGACGGGUUACCGCUUGCCAUAAAAGUGAUGGGAGGACUCCUAUGCCAGAAGGACAAAGAACGGCGUGAUUGGGAAAAGGUUUUGCAUGAUUCUACAUGGUCAGUAAGUCGUAUGCCAGAAGAGCUAAACAAUGCAAUAUAUCUUAGCUACGAGGACUUGUCUCCAUGUUUAAAACAAUGCUUUCUGCAUUUCUCCCUUAAGCCUAAAAGGAUAAGUUUUACCCACACACAGUUUGUGGGAAUGUGGAUCGGUGAAGGAUUUGUUCAUGGGGACUCUGAUAGAUUGGAAGAAUUAGGAAAUGAGUACCAUAAGGAGCUAAUAUUGAGGAACCUUAUAGAGCCGGAUCCGAUGUAUUCCAGUCAAACUAUUUGCCACAUGCAUGAUGUUGUUCGAUCAUUUGCUCAGUUUUUGACUAGAGAUGAAGCACUAAUAGGUCAUAGUGGAGAAAUUCUUAAUAGCAAACUUAGCCUGCCAAAGUUUCUUAGGUUAUCUGUAGAAACCAAAGGCGGGCAAUCUGAUGGAUUUGAGUGGAGAUGUUUACAAGAGCAAAAAUCGCUAAGAUCGAUAAUAAUAAUUGGGAAUUUCAAGAUUCAGUCUGGUGAUUCGCUGAUGAGCUUUUCAAGUCUUCGAACUCUACAUAUAGAGUCUGCAAAUUUUGCUGCAUUGACCGAAUCUCUAUAUCAGCUCAAACACCUGAGGUAUCUAACACUACAAAACUGCAAUGAUAUAAACAGCCUGCCAGAGGACAUUCACAAGGUAAAAUUCCUACAGCACCUUGGUCUUGAAGGUUGUAGGAGUCUGGUGAAACUUCCUGACAGCAUUGUCAAGUUAGAGGAACUGCGAUUUCUUGACCUUGACGACACAUGUGUAAAUAGUAUGCCUAGGGGUUUCUGUGCCUUGACAAAUCUAAGGGAACUAUAUGGGUUCCCAGCCCGCGUGGAUGGUGAUUGGUGUAGUUUGGAUGAGUUGGGACCUCUUUCUCACCUCAUUCAUCUCGGAUUGAAGGGUUUGGAGAAUGUAGCCGUUACCUCGUCCGCCUUGAAGGCCAUGCUUGUUGCAAAGGUACAUCUUACGUUAAUGAAAUUACACUGCACCAAUACACUUGACAACAAUAGAAGAGUACCCUCUGAGAAGGAACAAGGAAUAAUUGAGGAGGUGUUUGAUGAACUCUAUCCUCCGUCUUGCAUCGAAAAUAUUAACAUCCAAGGAUAUUUUGGUCGCCAGCUCCCAAGAUGGAUGAUGUCGAUGGCAACAUCGCCUCUCAAGAGCUUGAGGUUUCUAACAAUGCAUGAACUUGUUUGUUGCACCCAACUCCCUGAUGGCUUGUGUCUGCUCCCACGUCUCGAGCUCCUAGCAGUCGACCGAGCGCCAGCUAUCAAGCGUGUUGGGCCUGAAUUUGUGCAGUCCCCGGACCACCGUCAUCAUCCUUCAUCCCAGGCGACAACUUCUUUUCCAAGACUGCAUCAGAUGAAGCUAAAUGCAUUGGUGCAAUGGGAGGACUGGGAGUGGGAGGAGCAGGUGCAAGCUAUGCCCCUCUUGGAGGAGCUUAGUAUCGUAAGAUGCAAUUUGAGGCGUAUCCCUCCCGGCCUUGCAUCCCAUGCAAGGGCUUUGAAAAAAGUAUAUAUGAGCAACAUCAAGGGCCUUGACUCUGUUGAAAACUUUGGUUCCGUCACUGAGCUCAGGCUGUCUCGCAUGCCGGAGAUGACUAGGAUCUCUAAUCUUCCCAAAUUGCAGAAUCUUGAGAUCAGCUUCUGCCCAAAGGUCGAGUUACUUGAGCAGGUGCCUGCACUCAGAAGACUUGUGCUGAAUCUAUGGCACAGUGAGAAACAACUCCCGUUAUACCUGCAGGCUGUGAAGCCAAGUCAUUUUUUGUUGAACUGCAGCCGAAAGGUACUCACCUCCAUGGCUUUGGGAAAAUCUGGCUCGGAGUGGUACAAGUUCAGCCAUAUCCAGCAUGUUGAGGCUUAUGCAAAGGAUGGGGGCAAUGAAAAAAAAUGGCACCUACUGUACACAAGAGAGCCCUACAAGAUCGAUACAAAUGUUGUGCAGGAUUACUCAAAUGAAAAAUAG
rnacentral:rRNA from 1 species